GAGUGAAAGUUAUGACAGAAAUACUAGUCAUAGGUCCAUCCGAAUUUUACCUAGAUUACCUCCAAUACUUGAAAUGCUCCAACCCAUAGUAAAACUCAUGAAUACAAGCCUCAAGAGUGAAAAAGGAUUCUGAAUUUGGGAAAAAUAAGGCAUCAAAUACAAAGAGAAUUUUGGGGUUCAAUGGUGAAAGAACAAGAGGAAAACAAGAAUCAAAUUUUAUUCAUACCUUAACUUUCCUUUUGGUAUGAAAUGAGAGUUUGAAGCCUUAAUUCGUACAUGCAUGAACUAAUAAUGGAGGAAUUGGGAAAAUUUCGGAAUUGGGGUUUAGGUUUGUGGAGAUUCUUUGCCAAAUAGAGAAAAGAUGAAUGAAACUAAAAUUGAGACUUGAUUCUUGGUUAUGGAGGUGGAUGUUAGAAAAGCAUACUCAUGGAAAGCUUCAAUGUAGAAGAAAGAUGGGAAUGGUGGAAUUUGAGAUAGUGUUAAGAAGUCUCACAUCGGUUCAGAGAUGGCCUGACUAAGUGUUUAUAAACUAGAGACAAUCCUCACCUUAUAAGUCGGUUUUGUAAGGAUGAGUUAGACUCAAUACUCAUUUCUAAGAUGGUAUCGGAGCCUCUCCAAGAUCCAUUGGGCCACCCGAUAUCGGGUCACCUACCAUUUAUAUCCGCGUACCAAGCCCAAUAGCACUAGACGCGAGGGGGUGUGUUAAGAAGUCUCACAUCGGUUGAGAGAUGGCCUGACUAAGUGUUUAUAAACUAGAGGCAAUACUCACCUUACAAGCCGGUUUUGUAAGGAUGAGUUAAGCCCAAUACUCAUUUCUAAGAGGUAGUGUCGUUGUUGUUGUUCGUAAGUGAGAGGGAGAGGAGUGGGUGACCUUGCUGAAGUUGAUUUAAGGGAACAAGAAAGAUGGAAUUGAGUUUAGUAUUUCACACAUGCAUGCUUGGUUGAGAGCUAAUUGAAGGGAUUUUCUUGAACUCAAGACUAUGGUGAAGGUGAAGAUGAAGAGUUUUGCGUGAUGAAGAGUUUUGCGUGAGAGAGAUGUAAAUAAGUCUGGUUACUGCUUUUGGAUGUUUAGGAAGUGAAGAGUUAAAGGAAUGCUCGGUUCAUUCUUGUUUUGUCAUAGUGGAUUGUGGGUCCCACUUGGCACUUGUUUCUCUUCUAUUGGCU
rnacentral:lncRNA from 1 species